UUCCCACGUUUACUUUUGUUUUGUUUUUGUUUUUUUGGUUUUUCGUAUCUCAGAGACCAUGAUUUCUCAUCUUUCACAAAAUUCUGAUAAUUGCUUAUUGUUCUAUCAUUUUCCAAAAACAUCCGAUACUCCAUACUUUUCUUCACCAUAAACUCAUAAAAUUGAAAUCUGAAAUUCGUCUCUUUGGAAAUCAAAUUAGGCGUAAUUUCGAUUCAAUUUUGAAUCGAGGAAGUUGAUUUCUUGUUCGAGCUUUUCGAAGGAUCUUUAAAGUAUUAUCUACUACGCAAUUGUCGCAGCUAGCCAAGACUAUCAAGUGUGUGGAAAUUGAUGCUCCUCUAAAUCAAUUAUUUAAGGAAGUGAUCUCAUUUGGUAUUGAAGUUUGUGAUACACACAAACAAAUGAACGGACAUGAUUCUGGGAUGUUUGUGAUAAAGUAUAUGGAAGCUCAUCAUAUUUCAGAGUGGAGGAAAAUUCGAUACACAACAGAGGAGAUGAGAGUGGAACACUUGAAGUACUUGGUUAAAAUUUUGAAAAGUGAAUUCAACCACCAGGAUUACAAAACUAACGUUGUUAAGGAGAUUGUAAGUGUCAGUUGAGACAAAAACGAUUACUUUUGCAGUGCUCAGCUCGAUGCUUACAACAUUAAUCUCAAACAGGUUUGCUAAAACUAGAGACGGAAAAACUGUAACAACUAGUUGGUCUGAUGUUGUAGAUUAUGGAAAUGGAAAACAAUUUUGGCACAUUGACGAGGUUUAAACAGUUUCUAAUA